CAGGGGAGACUGGAAUUCCUGGUGUAGCGGUGAAAUGCGCAGAUAUCAGGAGGAACACGGUGGCGAAGGCGGGUCUCUGGGUAGUAACUGACGCUGAGGAGCGAAAGCGGUGGGUAGCGAACAGGAUUAGAUACCUUGGUAGUCCACGCGUAAACGGUGGGUACUAGGUGUGGGGCUCAUUUCACGAGUUCCGUGCGGUAGCUAACGCAUUAAGUACCCCGCUUGGGGAGUACGGCCGCAAGGCUAAAACUCAAAGGAAUUGACGGGGGCCCGCACAAGCGGCGGAGCAUGUGGAUUAAUUCGAUGCAACGCGAAGACCCUUACCUGGGUUUGACAUACACCAGACGCAGCCAGAGAUGGUUGUUCCCUUGUGGUUGGUGUACAGGUGGUGCAUGGCUGUCGUCAGCUCGUGUCGUGAGAUGUUGGGUUAAGUCCCGCAACGAGCGCAACCCUUGUCCUGUAUUGCCAGCGGGUUAUGCCGGGGACUUGCAGGAGACUGCCGGGGUCAACUCGGAGGAAGGUGGGGAUGACGUCAAGUCAUCAUGCCCCUUAUGUCCAGGGCUUCACACAUGCUACAAUGGCCGGUACAGAGGGCUGCGAUACCGUGAGGUGGAGCGAAUCCCUUAAAGCCGGUUUCAGUUCGGAUCGGGGUCUGCAACUCGACCCCGUGAAGUGGGAGUCGCUAGUAAUCGCAGAUCAGCAACGCUGCGGUGAAUACGUUCCCGGCCCUUGUACACACCGCCCGUCACGUCAUGAAAGUCGGUAACACCCGAAGCCGGUAGCCUAACUCCUCGGAGGAGCCGUCGUAGAGAGAUAACAAGGGAC
rnacentral:rRNA from 1 species